rnacentral:rRNA from 1 species
UACGGAGGAUCCAAGCGUUAUCCGGAAUCAUUGGGCUUAAAGGGUCCGUAGGCGGUCUAAUAAGUCAGUGGUGAAAGCCCAUCGCUUAACGAUGGAACGGCCAUUGAUACUGUUAGACUUGAAUUAUUGGGAAGUAACUAGAAUAUGUAGUGUAGCGGUGAAAUGCUUAGAUAUUACAUGGAAUACCAAUUGCGAAGGCAGGUUACUAGCAAUAUAUUGACGCUGAUGGACGAAAGCGUGGGGAGCGAACAGG